rnacentral:rRNA from 1 species
CCAUGUGGCCAAACUUCCUUGUAAAAGUCUGAUCUUGUCAGAUCUCAGAAGCUAAGCAGAGCCGGGCCUGGAUAGCACCUGGAUGAGAGGCCGCUGAGAAUACCAGGUGCCACAGUGG